rnacentral:misc_RNA from 1 species
GAUGAAGAACGUAGCGAAAUGCGAUAAGUAAUGUGAAUUGCAGAAUUCAGUGAAUCAUCGAAUCUUUGAACGCACAUUGCGCCCGCUGGUAUUCCGGCGGGCAUGCCUGUUCGAGCGUCAUUUCAACCCUCAAGCCCCCGGGCUUGGUGUUGGGGAUCGGCGAGCCUCCGCGCCCGCCGUCCCCUAAAUCUAGUGGCGGUCUCGCUGUAGCUUCCUCUGCGUAGUAGCACACCUCGCACUGGGAAACAGCGCGGCCACGCCGUUAAACCCCCAACUUCUGAACGUUUGACCUCGGAUCAGGUAGGAAUACCCGCUGAACUUAAGCAUAUCAAUAAGCGGAGGA